GAUGAACGCUGGCGGCGUGCCUAAUACAUGCAAGUCGAGCGAACGGACGAGAAGCUUGCUUCUCUGAUGUUAGCGGCGGACGGGUGAGUAACACGUGGAUAACCUACCUAUAAGACUGGGAUAACUCCGGGAAACCGGAGCUAAUACCGGAUAAUAUUUUGAACCGCAUGGUUCAAAAGUGAAAGACGGUCUUGCUGUCACUUAUAGAUGGAUCCGCGCUGCAUUAGCUAGUUGGUAAGGUAACGGCUUACCAAGGCAACGAUGCAUAGCCGACCUGAGAGGGUGAUCGGCCACACUGGAACUGAGACACGGUCCAGACUCCUACGGGAGGCAGCAGUAGGGAAUCUUCCGCAAUGGGCGAAAGCCUGACGGAGCAACGCCGCGUGAGUGAUGAAGGUCUUCGGAUCGCAAAACUCUGUUAUUAGGGAAGAACAUAUGUGUAAGUAACUGUGCACAUCUUGACGGUACCUAAUCAGAAAGCCACGGCUAACUACGUGCCAGCAGCCGCGGUAAUACGUAGGUGGCAAGCGUUAUCCGGAAUUAUUGGGCGUAAAGCGCGCGUAGGCGGUUUUUUAAGUCUGAUGUGAAAGCCCACGGCUCAACCGUGGAGGGUCAUUGGAAACUGGAAAACUUGAGUGCAGAAGAGGAAAGUGGAAUUCCAUGUGUAGCGGUGAAAUGCGCAGAGAUAUGGAGGAACACCAGUGGCGAAGGCGACUUUCUGGUCUGUAACUGACGCUGAUGUGCGAAAGCGUGGGGAUCAAACAGGAUUAGAUACCCUGGUAGUCCACGCCGUAAACGAUGAGUGCUAAGUGUUAGGGGGUUUCCGCCCCUUAGUGCUGCAGCUAACGCAUUAAGCACUCCGCCUGGGGAGUACGACCGCAAGGUUGAAACUCAAAGGAAUUGACGGGGACCCGCACAAGCGGUGGAGCAUGUGGUUUAAUUCGAAGCAACGCGAAGAACCUUACCAAAUCUUGACAUCCUUUGACAACUCUAGAGAUAGAGCCUUCCCCUUCGGGGGACAAAGUGACAGGUGGUGCAUGGUUGUCGUCAGCUCGUGUCGUGAGAUGUUGGGUUAAGUCCCGCAACGAGCGCAACCCUUAAGCUUAGUUGCCAUCAUUAAGUUGGGCACUCUAAGUUGACUGCCGGUGACAAACCGGAGGAAGGUGGGGAUGACGUCAAAUCAUCAUGCCCCUUAUGAUUUGGGCUACACACGUGCUACAAUGGACAAUACAAAGGGCAGCGAAACCGCGAGGUCAAGCAAAUCCCAUAAAGUUGUUCUCAGUUCGGAUUGUAGUCUGCAACUCGACUACAUGAAGCUGGAAUCGCUAGUAAUCGUAGAUCAGCAUGCUACGGUGAAUACGUUCCCGGGUCU
rnacentral:rRNA from 1 species